AAUGAACGCUGGCGGCGUGGAUUAGGCAUGCAAGUCGAACGCGAACGUGCUUCUUCGGAAGUACAAGUAGAGUGGCGAAAGGGUGAGUAACGCUUGGACGAUCUACCCUCGAGUUGGGGACAACAUCCCGAAAGGGAUGCUAAUACCCGAUAGUCCGUUCUGGUCAAGGCCAGUUCGGUAAAGGUGAUUCCGCUCGAGGAGGGGUCCAAGUCCUAUCAGCCUGUCGGUGAGGUAACGGCUCACCAAGGCGAUGACGGGUAGCCGGACUGAGAGGUUGGCCGGCCACAUGGGAACUGAGACACUGUCCUG
rnacentral:rRNA from 1 species